rnacentral:lncRNA from 1 species
CUUCUCCUGGCUCAGAAGCUCCCCCACCGAGCACCUUGUGACCCCCGCCCCUGCCCACCAGAGAACAACCCCCUUUGACUGUAAUUUUCCUUUACCUUCCCAAAUCCUAUAAAACGGCCCCACCCUUAUCUCCCUUCACUGACUCUCUUUUCGGACUCAGCCCAACCGCAUCCAGGUUAUAGCUCCAAUCUGUGCAAUGCACUUUGAAAAUGGAGAAAGGGAACACGUCAAGGAAUACAGGAAGCCACUAGAAGCUGGAAAAAAACCAGGAGACAGAUUCUCCUCCCAGAUCAUCCAGAAGGAACCAACCCUGCUAAAACCUUGACUUUAGCUCAGUACAAAGGAUUUCAGACUUACAGCCUCCAUAAGGAUCGAUCAGUUACUUGUUAAGGCCCUAAGGAAAUGAACAAAAGAGGGGUGCAUUUUGAUGACUGACUACAUAGGAUGCUGGUUGAGAGAAACAGGCCCUAGAUGUACCGUAAACCACCAAGAAAAACAAAGGGGACUUAUUUCCCAAAAGUCCGGAACCCACAGUGGGAGACUCUCCCUAAAAAUGCUGAACCCAGAUGUCCUUGAUGAAGAUUACUCCACUGGGCUUCAUCUUGGCUCAGGGUGCAUACAAUAAAACAAUGCUUCUUAAUUGUGUUCUGCCAAACAUUCGAUCCAUGGGCAAUUCUUGGGUGUUAACCCAAAGAAAUUGGUUCUGUGGUCGAAUAAAUUCAGAAAACACUAAAUGAAACAACAAAAAUAAAUAAAGAGGGAUUCUUUUAACAGAGCUUCUCAGAGGUUUUAAUAAAGCCAUGUGUGUUGUGAAUUUCUAACAGGGAUGUAUGAUAUAUCUUCUGAAUAUUUUACUACAGAACUUGCUCUUUUGUGGAAAAGAGAUGAGAUUAAUAUCCUGCAGAAAUUAUUUUAUUAAAAAACUCAUAGAGGGCAGCAGAAUAACUUUUGCAUAGUAGAAUAACUUUGGCUCUGGGCAAACGAAUGAAAAUAAUUUCUCAUGUAAAAAUGCCG